rnacentral:lncRNA from 1 species
AGACAAGGGGCUGUAGGUAUUUUGUAGGUUUUCAUGCAGUUGCUUUGAGUGGAUUCUCACGGGGAAUCCUGUUCCUCGGGACACUGAGCUUACCUGUCCUGUGCUGAGAGACAGGUGGCCUACCCUCCAUGUGUGCCCCUGACCUAUGCUUUCUUGUUUUCUAGUCACAUCAGGAGAGGAGUGUGUCAUCUGCUUCCACAACACUGCCAACACCCGCCUAAUGCCCUGUGGCCACUCGCAGUUCUGCGGCUCUUGUGCCUGGCACAUCUUCAAAGACACGGCCAGGUGCCCCAUGUGUCGCUGGCAGAUCGAGGAGGUGGCUGUAGAGCCUUCAGUGAAGUCUGGGGAAGGCUCCUGAGAUGAUGGCUUCUUGGACUGUGCAGCAAAUGGGACCUGGCUCUGAGGCAGGCCCUGCCAAAGGAGAAACCUCUGUCUGGAUGUUCGGUCAGCAAGCCCAGCCGAGGGCCACCGUGCCUGAUCUUGGGUCAGAAAGCCUGGUUAGCCACGGAGGCUCAGCGAGUCUUUCCCCAGCCAGAACUUCUGUAGAGGCUGAGGUGGUGCAGAGAAAUCUCUCUGGCUGCUUUGGGAAGCCCCCAGCAUGGCAGAGGCAGCCUGAGCUCCCGUGAGGACGUGAAGGGAUCCUGUUUGUGUCUGGUAAAAGUUACCAGAAGCAGGGACAUAUACCAUGGCAAUCUCCUGGCUGACUUGUGAGAUAGCAAAAUAAAGUUUGUUUUUGUAAC